rnacentral:misc_RNA from 1 species
AGCAGCCGCGGUAAUUCCAGCUCCAAUAGCGUAUAUUAAAGUUGUUGCAGUUAAAAAGCUCGUAGUUGAAUUUCGGGAUCAAAGAAUCGGUCAUGCCUUGGUAUGUACUGGUUUUAUUGGUUCUCACCUUCUAAAGAACCAUGAUGUCAUUCAUUUGAUGUUAUGGGGAAUUAGGACUGUUACCUUGAAAAAUUAGAGUGUUUAAAGCAAGCUUACGCUUGAAUACAUUAGCAUGGAAUAAUGAAAUAGGACAUCAGAUUCUAUUUUGUUGGUUUCUAGGAUCGAUGUAAUGAUUAAUAGGGAUAGUUGGGGGCAUUAGUAUUCAAUUGUCAGAGGUGAAAUUCUUGGAUUUAUUGAAGACUAAUUACUGCGAAAGCAUUUGCCAAGGAUGUUUUCAUUAAUCAAGAACGAAAGUUAGGGGAUCGAAGACGAUCAGAUACCGUCGUAGUCUUAACCAUAAACUAUGCCGACUAGGGAUCGGAUGAUGUUAAUUUUUAAUGACUCU